UACGAAGGGGCUAGCGUUGUUCGGAAUUACUGGGCGUAAAGCGCGCGCAGGCGGCUAUCCAAGUCAGUGGUGAAAGCCCGGAGCUCAACUCCGGAACUGCCAUUGAAACUGUUUAGCUUGAGGAUGAGAGAGGUGAGUGGAAUUCCCAGUGUAGAGGUGAAAUUCGUAGAUAUUGGGAAGAACACCGGUGGCGAAGGCGGCUACACUGGCUCAUUACUGACGCUCAGGCGCGAUAGCGUGGGGAGUCAAACAGG
rnacentral:rRNA from 1 species